GUCACAGAUAAACCGAGUCCGUGGUCGAAAACAACCAGAAGGUGGGCUUAGAAGCAGCCAUCCUUGAAAGAGUUCGUAACAGAUCACUGGUCUAGCUUGCGGGCCGGGAAAAGGGACGGGGCUCAAAUCGCAUACCGAUACGUUAGUCCAUCGAAAGAUGAUGAGGUAGCGCGGCGACGUGUAUGGGCGGAAGCAAGGCUUUGAGGUCUUGUGGACCGUAUACGUACGAGAAUCUAGGGAAGAGUAGCAGCACAGAGUGGUGAGAAUCCGCUCCGCCGAAGGGGCCAGGGUUCCUCGGCACUGUUUAUCAGCCGAGGGUUAGCCGGUCCUAAGUUCGUUCUUAACCGAAACGAUCGAAAGGGAAUUGCGUUAAUAUUCGUAAGCCCUCCUACAAUAAUGGUGACAGCUUGGGCUAGUUUACCGCGUCAUAUGUCAGGCGCGCGAAGCGUCUAUAAUUCACAGGAGAACCGUUACGGUGAGAAAGUGAAGAAGUCGUGAGUGAAACAGUAGAUGAGGCCCGGGUUCCAUGAAAAGCCGUAGGAGUGACCGUACCGAGAACUGAAACAGGUGCCCCUAGGUGAGCAGCCUAAGGUGUAUCGGGUACAAAUAUCGCGAGGGAACUCGGCAAAAUAGCUCCGUAACUUCGGGAGAAGGAGUGCCAGCUUCGAGAGAAGCUGGUCGCAGUGACUAGGGAGCUCCGACUGUUUAAUAAAAACAUAGCCGACUGCCAGUUCGAAAGGAUGUGUAUAGUCGGUGAAUCCUGCUCAGUGCUGGUAUCUGAAAUUGGGUUUCAACCUAACGAAGGACCAGUAAACAGCGGGGGUAACUAUGACCCUCUUAAGGUAACGUAAUACCUUGUCGCUUAAUUGGCGACUUGCAUGAAUGGUCCAACGAGGGCUCCACUGUCCCCGCGAUAUGUCCGGCGAAAUUGACUUUACUGGCGCACAGUCCAGUACAUUCAACCCGCAAGCGAAGACCCCGUAGAGCUUUACUGCAGCCUGUCGUUGUACAGUCGCUUUCCAUGUACUGUGUAGGAGGGAGACGUUAAUCUCUGGAACGCCAGUUCCAGAAGUAGUCGAAAAUAGAGACACCUCCCUUGGAGAGUAACUGUGCUCACUCUUUACGAGGACACCGAUAGGUGGGCAGUUUGGGUGGGGCGCCACGCGCUCGAAAAAAUAACAAGCGUGCCCAAUGGCUAGCUCAGGUGGUUCAGCACUCCACCGUUGACUAUAAGGGGAAAAGCUAGCUUGACGUGGAUCGGCACAAUAACGAUCGACGAUGUGAAAGCAGGGCCUAACGAACCUACCAGCCUCAUUUCUGGGGGCGGUAGAUAACAGAAAAGUUACCUCGGGGAUAAUUGAGUUGUCACCAGCAAGAGUCCAUAUCGACCUGGUGGCUUGCUACUUCGAUGUCGUCUCUUCCUAUCCUGGGUCCGCAGCAGGACCCAAGGGUGGGGUUGUUCGCCCAUUAAAAGGGAUCGUGAGAUGGGUUUAGACCGUCGUGAGACAGGUUUGUUGCUUGGUGGUUGAAUCGCAUAAGAUGCCUGAUGGAAAGGGCCCUCUAGUACGAAAGGAACGAGGGCACGGAGCCACUAGUUUACCAGUUGUCUGACAAGGCAAUGCUGGGUAGCCACGCUCCAAAGGAUAAGAGCUGAAAGCAUCUAAGCUCGAAGCCUACCCAAAGACGAGGCAUCUCAGAACGCUCGUAAAAGACGAGUUUGAUAGACCGCGGAUGUAAGCACGAAGGUUCGCCGACGUGUUCAGUCCUGCGGCACUAACUGUUCGAGCAUCUUUUUCA
rnacentral:rRNA from 1 species